rnacentral:rRNA from 1 species
CGGCCGCGGUAUCCUGACCGUGCAAAGGUAGCAUAAUCACUUGUUCCCUAAUUAGGGACUAGAAUGAAUGGCCAAACGAGAAUUCAACUGUCUCUUAUUUUUUAUCAGUGAAAUUGACCUUUCAGUGAAGAGGCUGAAAUACUAAAAUAAGACGAGAAGACCCUAUGGAGCUUAAAUUAAAAGUUUAAUUUUACUAUUAUUAACCUAAUGGUUUAACACAAAAAUUUUAAACUCUAAAUUUCGGUUGGGGUGACCUCGGAGAACAAAAAAUCCUCCGAAUGAUUCUAACAUAGACCAACAAGUCAAAGUAACCCAAAGAUCUCAUUGACCCAAAAAUUUUUUGAUCAACGGACCAAGUUACCCUAGGGAUAACAGCGCAAUCCUAUUUUAGAGUCCAUAUCGACAAUAGGGUUUACGACCUCGAUGUUGGAUCAGGACAUCCCAAUGGCGC